rnacentral:piRNA from 1 species
UGAUGCUGUACCAGAAAAGUAGGAAGG